AGGAAUGUAGCUCCUCUCGGGGAGUGUUAUAGCCCGUUGCGAAAUGCGGCCAGCUUGGACUGAGGUCCGCGCUUCGGCUAGGAUGCUGGCGUAAUGGUUGUAAGCGGCCCGUCUUGAAACACGGACCAAGGAGUCUAACAUCUGUGCGAGUGUUUGGGUGUCAAACCCGUACGCGUAAUGAAAGUGAACGGAGGCGGGAACCUCUCGGGGUGCACCGUCGACCGAUCCUGAUGUCUUCGGAUGGAUUUGAGUAAGAGCAUAGCUGUUGGGACCCGAAAGAUGGUGAACUAUGCCUGAAUAGGGUGAAGCCAGAGGAAACUCUGGUGGAGGCUCGCAGCGGUUCUGACGUGCAAAUCGAUCGUCAAAUUUGGGCAUAGGGGCGAAAGACUAAUCGAACUAUCUAGUAGCUGGUUCCUGCCGAAGUUUCCCUCAGGAUAGCAGUAACGUUUUCAGUUUUAUGAGGUAAAGCGAAUGAUUAGAGGCCUGGGGGUUGAAACAACCUUCACCUAUUCUCAAACUUUAAAUAUGUAAGAAGUCCUUGUUGCUUAGUUGAACGUGGACAUUUGAAUGUAUCGUUACUAGUGGGCCAUUUUUGGUAAGCAGAACUGGCGAUGCGGGAUGAACCGAACGCGGAGUUAAGGUGCCGGAAUGCACGCUCAUCAGACACCACAAAAGGUGUUGGUUCAUCUAG
rnacentral:rRNA from 1 species